UCUCUGUGAUAUGGCUAUGGAUUUAUUGGACGAAUACUCUUCAAAGCAAAGUGUUGGAUUCUGUUGCCGCGCCCUCUAGUUCGCUUGGUGCAGGUCGGGAACUUAAUUCGCCGAUUGCCUGUGAAUUUUGCGGUGAAUUUGAGCUCUCUGCGUGUGCGUGGUGAAAAAACAUUUGAUUGCCACUCAAUUUGGCGAAAAUCAUGUUCCUGCCUUGCAUCAACUGAAUCGGAGGCCGCGGUGAAUGAUUAUUUAUUGGAUUCACGUGGAUCUGCUGCGAUUGAUAUGGCGUAGGUGUUAAUUUUGAAUUCGAUUUUUUUUUCCGGAUCUGAGUGGUUUGUUUUUCUGCAUUGAGCAUGAACUAUAGAUCCUGUUUCUCUGCAUUGGCACAUACCUAAUUAUCACUCGUCUGUAGAAAAUUAGUGCCCUUUUUCCUUAACUAGCUCUAGCUAUGGACAAUUUAAUUCCUGUAUUGCUAGAAAAAAGGAUGAAUGUAAGUAUUUACAUUGCAGUUGAUGCAUCUUCUUAUCAGAUUAUAAUUAGUAGAUAAUAGGGGAAUGAUUAAUCAACUUGUGAUUCAAAGAAAUCUUAGUAGUAUUUGAUUGUGUCAUUCUUAUUAGUUGAAUUUCAUUAAUUUUCAGUUUAACUCUUUACGUUAGUAGCUUUUCUUCCGAAUUCACUUGUAAUACUGAAAUAAGCUGUUUUUUCACAGAAAGUUGAUACAUUUUUGUGAUGGAUGAUCCUAAGCCUAAUGUGAUUUACAAGGAUAAUUAUGCUAAGAAUCCUGACUCUGAGUGAAUUGCAUUGCUUUUAUUGUAUCCAUGAUAUUACUUGAGUUUUACUUACUACUUUCUUUCUCCAGUAUGACUGUUUCUGUGAAUCAUGUGAGUUGUUUCCCAUCAUGUUGAAAAAAUAUUCCUCAUGUUGCAGUGGGGUAUAUGUUGGCUUUGUUAUGGGUCAUAACUUUGUCUUCUAGUGACCUGAAGGAAUAAAAUGGCACGCUCCCUUUUGUGCUUGGGAGGAUAAUGGGCAUAUUUCUAGCAAACCUGUGUUCUUAGUUGUCAUUUUAAACUGCAUUUUCCUGUAUUGUUCUGCAUAGCUACUACACCCACUUGGCAUAUAAAAUGCCCCAAUUGUUACAAUCAACAGCUCCAAGAUUUGUCUUUUAGAAUGAUUACAUAUUGCUGUAAUUGAUUCCACAGUUUCAUUAGACUGUAAUUUGAGUCUAAAAUAACUUCUCAAAGACAGCAUCUGCAAUUUUUGCUUUCAAGUGAAGGUACCUGGCAUUGAUUGCUUAGAGAUUAUGUUCUACGUGCAAAUCUUUUUGGAUUAAUUUUCAGUGAUGUGGUGUCGUGGACGAGUUUGAUAUGAACAGGGAUUUUUCAUUUUUGCAAGAAUUUGAUCAAAGAAAAGAUCUCCAUAAAGAUGAUGGAUUUAAGAUUUGGAGGUGUGGCAUGAAAAUUUGAAUUAUUUACCUUAGUGUGACUAGUUUCAUCAAUUUUUUAGUGACUAUGAUAAACAGGUAAAAGGACAGAGAAAAGCAGAGAGCUAAAGUCAGCGGAUCCAGUGAUGCACUGAUACUGUCUGAAGGCAUGACUAAGUGAGCUCAUAAAAUAAAAACCCUGAUCCCUGGAGUGGAACUUGGAGAUGCGAAUAGGCGCGUUUGCAGCUCCAAAAAUAUCAGUGCCGGCCGUUUUUUCUACCCCAGGUGUUGCUGAAAGCCCGACGUUCCGGCUGUUCGGCUGCAACAAUAUUCAACCUUGUGAUGUGAGAUGAACUCUCUAUCUUAUAUCCUCCUUUUAUCAAGAAUUUUCUUUGUUUUUCAAUUUGGGGCAUUCUAAAUGAUUGUAAUACAAAACAAAUUUAACUCUCUAUCUUAUAUCCUCCUUUUAUCA